rnacentral:rRNA from 1 species
CGGCGGACGGGUGAGUAACGCGUGGGCAACCUGCCUUACACAGGGGGAUAACAGUUAGAAAUGACUGCUAAUACCGCAUAAGACCGCGGAACCGCAUGGUUCUGAGGUAAAAACUCCGGUGGUGUAAGAUGGGCCCGCGUCUGAUUAGGUAGUUGGUGAGGUAACGGCUCACCAAGCCGACGAUCAGUAGCCGACCUGAGAGGGUGACCGGCCACAUUGGGACUGAGACACGGCCCAGACUCCUACGGGAGGCAGCAG